GCAUUGCUGUCUGGGAGGAACCGUGAGGACAGGAGUCUCAACUGCUGUCAUCUUUCUGCCGCUAUAGCAGAUACCAGAGAUGAACAAUGAAAAGAUUAUCUUCUAAACUGGUACACAAAGUGGUAGGACGUUGAGGCAGAGAAAACCUAGUCACCCCAUGGAUGGGAAAUGAAAAAGACAAAGAAUGACUGUGCAUCAGUCUGGUCCUGGGACACAUCCUCCAUGACCGGAAGAGCUGACUCGAGGAUGGAGUAGCGAGUCCACCACUUUCCACUAGCGCCUGCUAGAGACCAAACAUACAGAACAAUGGAGUGCACGAGCAUUUGGAGACAUAGGAAGAGCCUCGGAAGCAACAUCUCUCAUGGUUGAAUCUUCCUGAGAGAGAAGGCUGCUAGAGAAAAUCAGGGCCACCUGCGUCCACGACUGUAUUUUGUGACUCCUAGAACCUUCUUCUUGUGGAGACGGAGUAUGGCCCAGAGAACAACUGCCCCAAAAGGAGUCUUUGCUGUUGGAUGUUUUUAAGGAAUUGCUUUAAUCCUAGCUACGGUCCUUCAUUCCUUUCUAUGUUUCUACUGCGGGCUGCCAGUUCUUCAAAUGGCCUGACUCCACCUGCAUUCUGCCCCGCAAUGGCCAACUUCAAUAGAAUUAACCGUCACAAACGGCAGUUUGUAACAUCUUCAUGAAGAGAUCCAUCCUGUUGCUUUUGAAUUUUGCUAGUUAUUUGUGUCUAUUUUCUGUACAAAAUUGAUCUAGACACAUAAAACUAGAUU
rnacentral:lncRNA from 1 species